AUGAGGAGGCGUUCGAUAUUCAUCGCCUUUAUAAAGGGGCACAGACCCGUCCUUCUCUACGCCCACCUCUUCCUCAACUUUUCUAACCUCGAGCUCCAGCACCCAGGUUUUAACUUAAUCAUUCCAAGCCUCCCAGUCUUGUCCAGACCCAGCCUUCAAGGCUCUGUCACAGAGGAGGAUAUCGUGAAGCUUUGGGCGGCAAGGUACCUGACCAUAGAAAUCCUUCACAGGCUCCCUGCGAAGGGACAGGUUAUUCCUACACCCAGAUCUGGCGAGAGGGUCGUAUUCAUCUCCCACUUCCUCCGGGGGAUAGGGUUCGCUCUCCACCCCUUCGUUCGUGGUCUCGUGUUCUAUUACGGGCUAGAUUUUCAUGAUCUGGCUCCGGACUCCUUUCUUCACAUCUCGAUGUUCAUUGUCAUGUGCGAGGCCUUUCUCCGCAUUCCCCCACACUUCAGCUUAUGGCUCAAGACCUUUAAUGUGAAGCCGAAGGUAGUCGAUGAUACGUCCAUUUUGCGUCAUGCUUUUAUAUCGAUAUUCAUUGCAUUAUGGGCUGUUAUUACACAUUAUGUCACAAUACUUAUGCCUAUUCUCUCUUAUUUUACAAGGUUUACAUAA
rnacentral:rRNA from 1 species